rnacentral:ncRNA from 1 species
UGCGCCGGACAGGAUCAAAAGGGAACCGGGUGCGAAUCCCGGACAGUUCCCGCUGCUGUAAGUUCCCCGCUAUCGCGGUAUUCUCUGCCACUGGGGCUCCACCCUGGGAAGGCUCCGCGACGGAACGAGUCAGAAGACCUGCCUGUUGCCG